AUUGAACGCUGGCGGCAUGCCUUACACAUGCAAGUCGAACGGCAGCACGGGACCUUGCUCCUGGUGGCGAGUGGCGAACGGGUGAGUAAUACAUCGGAACGUACCCUGAAGUGGGGGAUAACGUAGCGAAAGUUACGCUAAUACCGCAUAUUCUGUGAGCAGGAAAGAGGGGGAUCGCAAGACCUCUUGCUUUAGGAGCGGCCGAUGUCGGAUUAGCUAGUUGGUGAGGUAAAGGCUCACCAAGGCGACGAUCCGUAGCGGGUCUGAGAGGAUGAUCCGCCACACUGGGACUGAGACACGGCCCAGACUCCUACGGGAGGCAGCAGUGGGGAAUUUUGGACAAUGGGCGCAAGCCUGAUCCAGCCAUGCCGCGUGAGUGAAGAAGGCCU
rnacentral:rRNA from 1 species